CCUGGGUGGCUGCAGUGGGGAAUAUUGGACAAUGGGCGAAAGCCUGAUCCAGCCAUGCCGCGUGUGUGAAGAAGGCCUUCGGGUUGUAAAGCACUUUCAGUGGGGAAGAAAGCCUUGGGGCUAAUACCCUCGAGGAAGGACAUCACCCACAGAAGAAGCACCGGCUAACUCCGUGCCAGCAGCCGCGGUAAUACGGAGGGUGCGAGCGUUAAUCGGAAUUACUGGGCGUAAAGCGCGCGUAGGCGGUCUGAUAAGCCGGUUGUGAAAGCCCCGGGCUCAACCUGGGAACGGCAUCCGGAACUGUCAGGCUAGAGUGCAGGAGAGGAAGGUAGAAUUCCCGGUGUAGCGGUGAAAUGCGUAGAGAUCGGGAGGAAUACCAGUGGCGAAGGCGGCCUUCUGGACUGACACUGACGCUGAGGUGCGAAAGCGUGGGUAGCAAACAGGAUUAGAUACCCGAGUAGUC
rnacentral:rRNA from 1 species